GAUUAUAGCUCAGGAUGAACGCUGGCGGCGUGCCUAACACAUGCAAGUCGAACGAGCGAGAGAUGAAACCUAGUGAUUCUCGAGCGAGUGGCGGACGGGUGAGUAACGCGUGGGUAACCUGCCUUACAGAGGGGGAUAACAGUUUGAAAAGACUGCUAAUACCGCAUAAGCACACAGUACCGCAUGGUACAGGGUGAAAAGAUUUAUCACUGUAAGAUGGACCCGCGUCUGAUUAGCCAGUUGGCAGGGUAACGGCCUACCAAAGCGACGAUCAGUAGCCGACCUGAGAGGGUGAUCGGCCACAUUGGGACUGAGACACGGCCCAAACUCCUACGGGAGGCAGCAGUGGGGGAUAUUGCACAAUGGAGGAAACUCUGAUGCAGCGAACCGCCGCGUGAGUGAAGAAGUAUUUCGGUAUGUAAAGCUCUAUCAGCAGGGAAGAUAAUGACAGUACCUGACCAAGAAGCCCCGGCUAACUACGUGCCAGCAGCUGC
rnacentral:rRNA from 1 species